rnacentral:rRNA from 1 species
GUUAUGGCAUUAGUUGUGUUAUACUAAUAAAAUGUUGAUGAACUAUGUUAGUUAAAAUGGUACUAGCUAACAUGGUAGAUAAGUCCCUAAAUUUCUUGAUAACAUAGCAGUUCAUUGAGGGUAUUACUAGUUGCGUAGCUGUUUUCCAAGCUCUGAUUCAGAAGACUAAGCACCUUUUAUAUGGUUUUUCAACAAUUGUCAACAUAUGGCUCCCAAAAAUUCCUGAAUUUUUGCCAUUUUACACAACCAACAGGAGAAAGUAUAUAUCAGACCAGGAAACAAUGUAAACCAUGUUGUUCCACAUUUUAUUGGACAGAAUUCAGUCACAUGGCUCCAUCUAGCAAGUGAGGUUAGGAAAUGUAGUCUAACUAUAUUCCCCGGAGGAAACUAGUUAGAAAGCCUGGGAACUCUCUGCUAUGUACUCCUCUAAAAAUCUUUGAAGCACGAUAAUUGAUAAAUGAUAAAGAGAUGAUUGAUGAAGAAGAUAAUCAUCAUUCCAUGUUUUAUUUCAGAUUUAAGCCUACAUACACGUUUAGAUUCAGUAAUUUGAAUUGGUUCAAAAAGUAGUAACUUCUGCCAAUAUUUAAUAUAACUUUUUUAUUAUCCAAAUUUCUGGGUGCCUUAUAGAAAAUAAAAAAAUCCUUUUCAUUAUGCAACUUGUACUGAAUGCAUUAUGGCAAUUCUGUUAAUUCUUAAUGUAGGAUUUUCUUUAUAAUUGCAGUAUGCAAUGAAAGUAACAAAUUGCUUUAUGUGUUAGAAUAAAAAAUGAACAGAGACAGGGCACGAUUUCCAAUGGUUAGAAAUGUUUUUCUGGAAGGUCAAAAAUUCUUUCACAUGUUCUCAAAUGAUUGUUAUUAAUUAUAGAACUGAAUAAUUGGCUAGUUGUUUCUUCUUUAACUUAAUAAUUUUAUUAAUGGAAUCUACUUGCAGUUAGUAGUUCUACGUAGAGAAGGUAAGAAAUAUAAAUUAUUUGUUGAAAAAAAAUAAUUUUAAAAGGUGGCAGUAAAAAACACAAUUAACAAAAAGAAAGAAAGAAAGAAAGAAAGAAAGAAAGAAAGAAAGAAAAGAAACAAACAAACAAACAAACAAACAAACAGAGGGGGGAGGGAGGGAUGGAGGGAGGAAAGAAAGAAAGAAAGAAAGAAAGAAAGAAAGAAAGAAAAGAAAGAAAGAAAGAAAGAAAGAAAGAAAGAAAGAAAGAAAGAAAGCUAAAGGAGCAAUGCCAUGAGCAGAUCUAUGACCUUGGCCUUAGUGCCACAAUGUUUUAGCUAGAAAAGUUAACAAGUAAUACCAUGAAGCAUGGAAGCGGCUGACUUCAAAGCCACUCUCUGAAGCAUUGUUGCCUCAGAGUGAUCUAACUUCCUGAUUAAACAAAUCUGGAUCCCAGCACUAAGGCUCCAACAGUGUAGGAGCACCUCUUCAGAAACUCGUUUGGAAGACAGUAUCAAUUUCCAUAGGCAUUCCACAACAUAUGUCUUGUUCACUUAUGGAACCGUGUUUCUGAGCAUGCUGAUUACAAUCAUAUCCUCACCAGAAAGAGUUCUCAUCACAUACUCCUUUAACAGUACACAGAGGACACAGUGGCUUUCCUUAUCCUCGGUAGAGAAACUGAGUAUAAGAUAUUGGUAAAAAUCCACAACUAUGAACUACAGGAUAUCUGCUACUGUAUCAGUCUCUUUUCAUAUAGACUAAGAGUAUGGUAUGUUAGAGAUCGCCGACUCCUAAUGAGUAUUUCCCAUCAGUCUUCAGUACGAGAAACAAGUCAUAUCUUAGACAAAGCUACUGUCGGGUCAGGCUGGGUUUGAAUUUCCCUCAAGUAAAGAACAGUUUGGUUAAGACAUACUCAAAUCAAACAUGUUUCAAUGAAUACAGGAAAGAACUGUAAUACCUUCCUCGACAUUGUGUGAGUGCUACCUAGACUUCACAACAUACUAAUAGUGGCACUAAAACGUUGACUGGACUAUUGACUUCCAGAAGGAUGGUAUUCAAAACCCUGUUUCCUGUCUCUAAAUUUUUUAGUUUUCCUCAUCUUCUUCAUGGGAACCAAUGAACCACAGAAUGGAAACACCAAAGCAUCUUAUUUCUCAAAAUGCUUGGCAUUCUCUGCAGCAGUUAUGCCUAUUUCAACACAUGAAAGUCUGAAACCACAGCCAAGGGAAUAAGCUUGGUGGAAUCAGCAGGGGAAGAAGACCCUGUUGAACUUGACACUAGUCUGGCACGGUGAAGAGACAUGAGAGGUAUAAAACAAGUGUGAUGCCCCCAUCCCUGUGAGGUGGCGGGGCAGGGUCUGCCGGCCUUGUGGGCCACUGGUGAAAUACCACUACUUAUUGUUUUUUCACUGAUCCAGUGAGGCAGGGGUGAAGGGCGAGCCCCAGGGGCUCUCACUUCUGGCGCCAAGUGCCUGGCUGGCACAGCCAGUUGAUCCCUCUCUGAGGACAGUGCCUAGUGAGGACUUUGACUGGGGCAGCACACCUGUCAAAUAGUAAUGCAGGUGUCCUAAGGUGAGCUCAGGGAGGACAGAAACCUUUCAUGGAGUAGAAAGGCAAAAGCUCGCUUUAUCUUGAUUUUCAGUAUGAAUACAGACCAUGAAAGUGGGGCCUCGUGAUCCUUCUGACCUUUUGGGUUUUAAGCAGGAGGUAUCAGAAAAGUUAUCACAGGAAUAACUGGCUUGUGGUGGCCAAGCAUUCAUAGCGACCUUGCUUUUUGACCCUCCGAUGUUGGCUCUUCCUGUCAUUGUGAAGCAGAAUUCACCAAGCAUUGGAUUGUUCACCCACUAAUAGGGAGCAUGAGCUGGAUUUAUACAGUCCUGAGACAGGUUAGUUUUACCCUACUGACUGACUAUGCGUUGUUGCCAUGGUAAUCCUGCUCAGUAGGAGAGGAACCACAGGUUCAGACAUUUGGUGUAUGUACUUGGCUGAGGAGCCAAUGGGGCAAAACUACCACCUGUGGGAUUAUGACUGAAUGCCUCUAAGUCAGAAUCCCACCCAGGUGGAAUGAUAAAGCAGUGCCCCAGAGCCCAGGUUGGCCUCAGAUAGCUGGUCCCCUGUCGUCUCCAGCAGGCAGGCUGCCUUGUGGGUCUGGCGCAUUGGGGCUACUCCUUGCGUGUGGGAAUCAGGGUCUGGUGCAGAGUUCCUGCUCUGGGAAAGGAGGCGGGCCAGAAAUGGGUCCGCCCCCUAGCAGGUCACACACCGCAAGUUCGUGGGGAACCUGGUGCUAAACCAUUUGUAGACGACCUGAUUCUGGGUCAGGGUUUUGUACCAGAGCAGCUCCUUUGCUGAGAUCUAUUGAAAGUCAGCCCUUGACACAAGGUUUUGUCCGUCUUUUUCCC